AUGGUUUUAUACUCACUAAUUUUGGUGAGUAUAGUGACAGAGAUUCAACAAAGAACAUGUUUGUGUGUUUGGGACCUCAGGAUAGUACGCAUGCUGGUGUCUAUAACUCAAUACACAAAUUAUCUGCAUUUUACAAUUGUGGGUUUUAAUGCAAAAUUCUGGAGCUAUAGUCAACCGUACUUUUUAUAUGCAUGUUUGAUAUCAUGCAAGGUCAUUUGUAUAUUUAACAUCCAUAAUUUCAUACAAAGUCAUUCAUACCUGCAUAAGAACGGAAUCCGUCCUUCUACUGAUGCAAUAUAUUGGAUUCAAGAUCUGGGUAUAGGAAAAAUAGAAAGAGUUGGCAUCUGUAUGCUAUGA
rnacentral:rRNA from 1 species